GAUUAAUGUAUUGAGGCGAUAUCUACCUUCGUGUGACUGUUUAGCCUGAUUGCCAGUGUUAGGCCUGGAGCCAAUCAUCUGAAAGCCACGAAAUGCCCAACUAGGGACACAAAUAGCCUGGUCAGGUUUUGAACCGUAAGGUGAGCGAGGUAGCGUACUGGUGAUCAGAGCAUCAAAGCUGCCAGUCAGCCCCAAGCCUGGCGCAUCAUUCUCGAGGUGAAUUACAGCACUACGAGAGCCCUUUUGUCCACGGCCACUGCUGUUACAGGCACAGCACGUCAAUCGGCAGCCUAAUUACUAUGAAGACGCCCCGCUCUCACCUGGUGCUGCUUUCAAACACUCAGAUUAAAGCAGCGUCGGUUAAGUUUUGGCACGACUUUCCUUUCAGUGGAUUACAGUGGAAUAGAGACAUUAGCAAGAUUUUAAUUUGGAUUAUCAGUGUU